GUCCACUUUUGCAGCACACGUACUAAAAAUUAGAACAUUGCAGAGGGAAUUGCCAUGGCACCUGUGCAAGGAUGAUACACAAAUUUGUGAAGCAUUCCAUGUUUUA